rnacentral:misc_RNA from 1 species
GGUAGAGAGAGAGCCGAGAGCCGAGCAGUGCGCUCGUGAUUCCUGCGCGACACGGAGCGCUUAUCGAUGCCUCCGCGUAUUACGAAAAUAUCUAUCUUUCUAUUUAUACAUAUACAAAUGUAUGUAAACUGUACAAUUUUACAAUGAUCGUUUGUAAGUUUAUACACUUUCCUAUUCGCCGGUGAAACGAGUUAAAUUUGAAUUUUCCGCCUCUGUAAAUAUACCCUCGAAUGAUCAACGUAACCGUACCGCCGACAUCAAAAACACAACGAUAACAGUAGCAGCAAUAAUAAUAAUAAUAAUAAUAAUAAUAAUAAUAAUAAUAAUAACAACAACAACAGCAACGAUAAUAAUGAUGGUAUAAUAAUGAGAAUGGCAAUAUCGCGGAACUACGAAGACGAGAGGAUUGGGAUUUUCAUUGAAUAAUUGUCAAGUGUGUAUACGUGUGUAUAUAUAUAUGUGGUGCUUCUGUAUGCUCCCCGUUUUCCCGUCUUCCGAGUAGUGCGUAUAUGUUUUUGUUCAGCUUCGUGUGUAACAUCAACAUUCCAAAAGGUUCAUUGAAAGACUCGUCGUGUUUUGUGCUCGAUUCCGGGUAUGCACGUGAACACGAAAAGAAAAUAGUAAUAAAAAGAAGUUAAGAAAUGUGUUGUACUCGUGGAUUUGCGCGGAGAAGACAAGUGCACGCGCGGCGGCCUCUCGGGCUACCUUAGUUUUUCUUUAUGUCUUUCCAAUUACAUACGCGGGGAUUUACACACACAAAUUUCAUCUAUCGGGAUUUUCUUUUCACCGAAUCACAUUUUUUUUAUCACACGCGACAUAGUGCUCGAUUCGAGAGGAAGGUCGGAUUGAAUAAAAAUAUAAAUAAUUCGUAUCGGGAAAGAGUAGGCGGUAGAAAGAGAAUUUGAAAAAAAUAAGCCGUGUGUGCGUGCGGUGCGUGGAACAGUGACAAAAAGAGUAGAAAAAAAAAGGUUUUUCCAUCGGUGAAGGGGGUCAGAGCGGCGUGAGGAGGGGAGUGAGAGGUGUCGCGGUGCAGUGUGGGCGGGGAGGGACGGUUUCGAGCGCCACCAAAGAACGGCACGACACUAGACGGGAAAGAGAGAAGAGGAAAAGCAGCACCGCCGGUGUGUACGUGUGCGUUGUGCGAGCCUCCCUUUUUUUUACUCGCGCAAAGUGCAAGAGCAAGAGAGGGAUAAAAGACGCGCGCACGCGUCUCUAUAUGUCUUGCUGCUGCUGCUGCUGCUGCUGCUGCUGCUGCUGCUCUUCGGUGUGUUUGUGUUUAACGUGCUUGUGUUUAAGUGCGCGGAGGAAAAGGUGGACAACGCGACGAGGACGUCGGAUGUCGACGGAGUCGACGACGACGACGACGACGACGACGGGCAAAAGGAGGUAACGGUGCGCGGUUAAGGGGAGGGGGGGGGGGGCCGUCGAAAAGGAAAAAAGUAGGGGAAAUGCCGAUCGCCGGUGGAAUUCUCGUUGCUGGAAGCGCCUCGCGUUGCCUCUCCUCUGCCGCUGGCAUGCUUCGAUUCCUCGCCAGACUUUCAGGGAGACGACGGCACGUGCGUCGGAGUUGCGGACCAGGUGGUGGAUCGGGCUGCUGCGGUACGGUAAAAUCCGGGGAGACAAGAGCGAUUUCAGACUCAGCUUGCAUCACGUCCGAGUGCGCCAGUAUCGAGGAUAUGGCGGGAACGACAGCCGCAACGGCAACUACAACGACGACGACGACGACGACGACGACGACGACGACGACGACGACGUUGAGAAUCGAUGAAAAAAGUCGACCCGAGGAACAAACGAACGAUGAAGCGAUCGACAGAAUUCAAGAUUCGAGAUGGACACCAAUGGAAAUUUCAAUCGAGAGGUUAUCGUGCGAUCGAUUGCGACAAUCGAACGACUACUACGAAGACGAUAGUUGUCGUUGCUACGCCGAAAGUUGUUCCCAUCAUCACCAUUGUACGUUAUUAAAUACCGAGGAAAGCCUUCGAAGUAACCAACGAGACCACGACGAGUACCUCGAACGUUCUUUUGAGCUUUCCCGACGCCUCGAGCUUCAACCGUCUCUCGUUUCUGCAUAUUCCUCCGAGACGUUACAGUCCCCUGACUACGUUUCGCCGCAUCUUACGUUCGUACAAGCCGAAACUCAACGAGUCGAGCCUCCUCGGUAUACCGAGCAACUUGAGCACGACGAUAAAUCCCGUAUCACCCGGAGACCGAAAUUCAACGGUCAAAGACCAAUGGCCAAACGUUACGAUGAGCUUGAUAAAUAUUCCCGUGUACAAGAUAUAAAAGAUAAUCACGAACGCGUACCGAGGCGAUUCCAUCACAGGCUUCACUCUCAUCGAAACAAUAAACAUUCUACGCCCGACACUUUUCCGUCAACCUCCCUCGUCGAAUCGAGCUUCGACGAUAUCGCCGCCGCCGCCACCACCACCACGACUACUACCACUACUACUACCACCACCACCAUCACCACCACCACCACCACCACCACCACCACCACCACCACUGGCAAUAGCACUACCAUCACCAGCACCGCAACUACAACGACAACGACCAUAUCGAGAACGAGAACGAGAACGAGAGAUUGCGCCGGCGAGCAUCUAGUCGAUGACAUUAAUUCACGUAGCAACGAUAAUCCUUCAAAAUUUAAAAGCUCCUCGAUAUCCUCGAACGAUCAAACUAUUUAUCAAAAUGAAAUGCAAGAACGGGAAUUGUCUCGUAACCAACGGAACGGCCAUCAUCCCGAUAGCUCGUCCUUUACCAAUACGAGCUACACGAGGAGACGAACCUUUCCACCCUAUCUCGCUACUCUGCUCAUCAUCUCGUACACGCUGUUUGGAAUUGCAGACGCGUGUUCGUCGAGGUCUACACCCAAACCAAGACCACCAACGCCGACACCAAGGCCCAACAUCACAUUCCACAUGUACACAUGUCCGCCCGAUUACGCGGAAUGGUACUGUCUCAACGGUGCUACGUGCUUCACCGUCAAAAUUCAAGAGUCACUGCUCUACAACUGCCUAUGCGCCAAUGGAUUCAUAGGACAGAGGUGCGAGUUCAAAGACUUGGAUGGUUCCUAUUUGCCUUCCAGACAACGGGUAAUGCUGGAGACGGCCAGCAUAGCCGGUGGUGCCACGAUAGCAGUAUUCCUCGUCGUUAUUAUCUGUAUAGCAGCUUACAUACAUUGUAAACGCAAGCAGAAAGAAUUGCGUACGAGCAGUACCUGCGUCGAUACGGUGGAUGGUCCUGGCCGAGAUCCGGAGCUGAGGCCGUUCAGCAACCGCAGCCGCUCCCUAAUGAUCUUCAUGGCCAAGAAUCCAAACGGCUCGAUGCGUCCAUCUAUCGAGCAAACACGAAUGCCUGGAUGGUGCGACUAUUCGCAGACGGAGACGGCGAGGAUGGCUUCCGUAAACGAGGAAAAACGAGGCUCGAGCCAGUGAAAGUAGAGAAUUCGAGGAGAGCGCGACAUCAGGGCUGAGAUGGAGCAAGAAAGAGCGAAAACAGAAGAGAAUGAAGGAAAAAGGAAACACAACGUAAGGGGGGAGAAGGAGGAGGAAAAAACAAGAAAAGGGAACGUCUCGACGAAUAACAACCUCAAAGGACAAGCAGCAAGCUCCGACCGACAGAAAUAACUAUCGAAUUAUUUGUAGCGGAGUGGGGAAUUAAAACUGCGUUAUACAUUUGUGGACCGAAUUCGAAACGCAAAUCAAAAGAGAAAAAAUAAUAGCAUUUAAAUUUUCUAACAUUUUUCGCUAAAGUUAGCGCGUGUUCGCACGCCCAGUUUCGAAUUACGAAGGAAAAAAAAACGAAAACAAUCCUCGAUAUAUUCCGCGUUCAUCGCACAUCUUCGUUUUUCUUGUGUUUUUUCUUUAUCAUUUUUUAAAUUGAAUUUUUCUACUAGAGUAUCGUCGAGACAUUCCCGAUUCGACAUUUUGCCGGAUCUCCGUCCAGUCGAGCACGACCUCGGUUUUCGUUUUCGUGUUUUUUUUUUGUUUUUUAAUUCCAUCAACUUUGAAUGAUCGACAGAAAAUGUUUGUAAUAAUUCCUUCGUCGUAAGUUCAUGAUCUUCCACACGAUUGAGCUUGUUAUGAAAAAAAAAAAGAAAAAAAAAAAAGGAGAGAAAAGUAAUUUUUUCUACCAUCGGGGUUACGAGUUUUACUGAAAACAAAAUCCGUGAGUUUUGUUCCGAAUUUUCGUAAGUUUGCGAUUCCCAAUGUGCUUGCUCGUUUAAGCGAAUAUUUUUCGCGCUAUCACGUUUUUUCUCCCCUCUUUUCCUUUUGAUGGCAAUGGUCGUAAGUAUAGUUGGCCAACUAAUAAAUUUAGCCAAUCAUUCGAGCCGAGCAUGAAUUUUUUUCAAUCAAAUAAUAGAUCGAAAAUUGUAUUGCUCUCGACUUGUCGCGACCGUUAUAGUGGCGCAUAAGGAAAAUGAGGAACAAAGAAAAUUGAAAAAAUUAUAGUCGAAAAUAUGAAAACUUAUCUCGCGUGUAAAUAUCAAAAGUUGCAUGUUUAGCGAGGAUCAAGUUCGGACGUGUCGGACGAUGAAUAAAAUAUAAUUCACGAGUUCGAGAAUGAAAGAAGAAGAAUUUAAAAGACGACACACGAAUUAGUAUUCAUCGAUGAUUUGUACAUUAUGUAGAUACUCGUAUGAAAAAUGACCUUCCGAGCGAUUUAAUCAUCGCGAUGCUUGCUUAAAUUUUCCUUUCUGACGUUUGAGACAUCGAAUUGAAACCAAUGAAAGAACAACCCAUCUAAUGAAAAAAAAAAAAAAAAAAAAAAAAAAAAACAAACAGAAACACAGAAGGCUUUAAUAGCUUAUUAAAGGUUCUGGAACUGAUUCUGCUGCGUCAGAACGAGUUGUUCCUUACCUCCCGUUUCGUACUCUCUUUAGUCCCAGUAUUCCGACACUCGGGAGACCAUUCGCGCUCCCGUAGAUCAACAGGCAAGUUUGAUUUACGGUGCGAUCUUAAUUAAUCGCAAUGAUAUAUAUACUUCCACAUAUAAUCGAGUCUCGAUUAUGUAAGGAUUUGUAAACUCAAAAGAUUCGAAAAAACAUUAAAACCCAUCGCAUUAUUUGAAUUGAAUGCCCAUUAAUGGAAUAAAAAAGUAAUAAAAAUAAAAUCAUUAAGGAAGCGUAACGUAUGAAGGGAGAAUCUAUAGAUAAUCCGUUUAGUGGACGAGAGGUGCAGGACGAAACGACACAAGGCGGAAAAAAAAGAAGCGAGAGAGAGCGAGAAUUUUCUAGCAUAAUAUAAUUUAAUUAUUCAUCAUACUUUAUAUAUUGUACUUGGUUCCUAAUUUAUUAUUCUCAUUAUUAUCUAUUAUUAUUCUCAUCAUCUAUCUAUCUAUUAUUAUUACUAUUACUAUUAUUAUUAUUAUUAUCUAUUAUCGAUUAUUACCAUUAUUAAUCGCAGAGCCGAGAGGGAGGGGGCGUUGAAAAAGAACAAACCGAUAAUUCCAUAUGAACGUAUCAAUUAACGAUUAGUCCGUGUGUGUUUGAGAGAGCGAGAGAAGGUGCACACUUCGAUUUUAUUCGGUUAUGGGUAUUCACAAAUUAUCGGGAGAAAAAGAACAAAUUAAAUAAAUUACUUAAUCUUGGUAUCGCUCUGACGCCUGAAUUAUCAAAGAAUUGCCUUUAAUAAAAAUUACCACCGCGGGAUCGGUUUGAUAAUCAACGGCUUUACCAGUUAUCAUCGAUUAUCGUACAAAUUAAUGAGGAGGAUAAUGAAAAAUAAUUUAAAAGAAUUAGAAAAAAGCAGGAAUUAAGCAUACAAUUUUCAUGAUAAUAGUUAACUUUCGUUCCUAAGAGAUCUUGACACAUAAUCUUUAUUCGCCACGAAAAAAAGCGCGCUAAUGAUUGUGAAAAACGAGACUAAAAAACGUUUAUCGACGUAGAAAUGUUGCCUUCAAUCCGUACUCCCAACAACACUCUGCUCGCGUGGAAAUUAAGCUUCAACGUGCGAUAGGAAAGCGAAUAAUAUACAUCAUAUAAAAUUGAUAAUAGAUACAAACAAAGAGUAACGAACGAAAAAUAACUGUAUUUGGUUAUGAUCGCCUAAGAUGAAGAUAAAAAUCAUACCCACUCACAAAUGAAUACUGUACACGUCUGUGUUGUGUAACUCACGAUCAGCGAAACUAUAAUUUUGAACAGACAAAAAAACGAACUAACGAAUAAAUUCCACAUUCUUCCCAACCUUCGUUCCUUUUCUCCUCGUUCAGUACUAACAAAACAAUAGAAAACAAACGUAAAAUUGUAAACCCGACCGACUUGUAAUAAUAUUGUUUGUAGACAAUGGUGGCAUUUUUAGUACAUCAGACAGCGCCGUGUAAUUGAGAGCUAACGAAUUGAGAUAACAAUGCUUCGAUAUUGCGAACUUUCGAUCGUCGAUUUUUCUAAACGGUCGGAAAUUAACUUAAUUCGAAUGUUAUUAAUUCAGGAAAGGAAAUAAAAAAAAAUUAUGCGAGGCGUGUCUGUCUAUCGGGUGAUGAAAUCGGGUAUCCGAUUGUCUCUGAUUUCGGAAGAUUCAAGAAAGACGAACGAGUUUUCCAUCGUUCUCGAAUCCCAGUUAUAAUAGUAAUAAUAAAAAAUCACCUUAUCGUUGUGAUUAUUUUCUGUUGAUUUCCGAAUAUUCUCUUAGUUUGUUAAAGAAAAUAGCGUUAGCAAUAAUGAAAAGAAGAAAAAUUAAAUAUAAACGUGGAAAGAACCUCUCGUCAUUCUCGCAAUAUCGUCGCCUUGAAAUCUUAGUCGAAAUUUAAAAAAUGAAAAAGAAAACAAAAAUUUUUUGAAAAUUGUAAAAUUUGUAACUGCGAAAGUAACGCGAGCGCUUUAUGACCGGCGGAUGGUAGGUACCCCGUCCGACAUAUACACCAAAUCCGUACUUGCGGUAUGCUGUCCGUUGCAAAUGUACCAAAGAGACACGUCAUUGAACUGAUGAAAUAAAUAAAUUGAAAAAAAAAAAUGAAAAAAAAAAAAAAACAAUAAACCAUCGAACAACGACGACGAUCGAGAAGCGUUAUAUCCGCCAGUUCGUAUCAUCCAGAAUAACGAGAUUGCCAUGUGUAACCACGGGAUACAAGGUGGAUGAUAUCGUGUGUAAAAAAACAUUUGGAAAGUGGAAUUACCGGAAUAACUUGGCUGGAAAAAUUAAUCGGAAGUCAACUCUCGCUCGAAAUACUCGUUUUUGCAGGAGUAAAAAAAUGUUACUCUUUCAUUCCCAACAUUUUCUCGUUAUUUUAUUUUCUUAUCAAUAAUGCUGGAACAAACAUUUUUUUUUUUUUUUUUUUUUUUUUUUUCGUAACAAGUAUAAAAUAUUUUCUUAUCGAUAAUUUUUUCAAGUUGCGAUUCUCCCUCUUGCUAAUGCUAUACUUUUACGAAUGCUUCACGUCGAAAAAGAAAAAAAAAACAAACUAAUGUGAAUUCUCAAGGGGUAUAUACGAAGGAAGUUGGAUAUAAAUAAUACAAUUUUCGAAGA